UGAAAAUCCUAGCCGUGUUGUAGAUUUGGUGUGAACUGGGGGCCGGUUUUUGGUUGGCAAGUGGAAUCGUCCGGGUGGCAGAGAGGAGCGGCGAGUUGGGAUUAGAGGAGUCGUCAUCAGAAACGAAGUGGCGACUGUAAACAGCAGCGUCAACAGAGGAGCCGCAGUUGAUAAGAUGAUUAUCGGUAGGGGAGAAGGAGGACAGGGAGAGGGCAGAGACUAGAGUGAGACAGAGGAAAAAGAAGGAGAGAGUAAGGUUUGUGCGUGGAAUCUCCAUGAAAGAGGAAUUGAGGUAAUUGAAUUGGAGAAUGAAGAGUUAAAAGAAGCGGGUAAAGGGUUCUUUGGUUUUGUGCUUUGUGCGUAACAGAAGCCGAGUCAGCGAGAAGACCUGCGUUUCGGAGUCUGCGCGUUCGGACAAUCUGUAGAGCAC
rnacentral:misc_RNA from 1 species